UGCAUGGUCUCUUUGUGCACGGUGGGCUCC
rnacentral:piRNA from 1 species